rnacentral:rRNA from 1 species
GAGUUUGAUCAUGGCUCAGGAUGAACGCUAGCGGGAGGCUUAACACAUGCAAGUCGAGGGGUAUCAGUAGCAAUAUUGAGAGACCGGCGCACGGGUGAGUAACGCGUAUGCAACCUGCCCUUUACCGGGGGAUAGCCCGUAGAAAUGCGGAUUAAUACCCCAUAGUUCCCUGUUGCUGCAUGGCAAUUGGGAUAAAGCCUAGGUGGUAAAGGAUGGGCAUGCGUGACAUUAGCUUGUUGGUGAGGUAACGGCUCACCAAGGCUGCGAUGUCUAGGGGUUCUGAGAGGAAGAUCCCCCACACUGGUACUGAGACACGGACCAGACUCCUACGGGAGGCAGCAGUGAGGAAUAUUGGUCAAUGGGCGAGAGCCUGAACCAGCCAUCCCGCGUGCAGGAAGAAUGCCCUAUGGGUUGUAAACUGCUUUUUCGCAUGAAGAACACUCCGGACGUGUCUGGAGCUGACGGUAAUGCGUGAAUAAGCACCGGCUAACUCCGUGCCAGCAGCCGCGGUAAUACGGAGGGUGCAAGCGUUAUCCGGAUUUAUUGGGUUUAAAGGGUGCGUAGGCGGUAAUAUAAGUCAGUGGUGAAAUCCUGCAGCUCAACUGUAGAACAGCCAUUGAAACUGCAUUACUUGAGUAAUCUUGAGGUAGGCGGAAUGUGUAGUGUAGCGGUGAAAUGCUUAGAUAUUACACAGAACACCGAUUGCGA